rnacentral:rRNA from 1 species
UGCGUAGGUGGGCUUGUAAGUCAGUGGUGAAAUACUGCCGCUUAACGGUAGAACUGCCAUUGAUACUGCGAGUCUUGAGUAUGGUUGAGGUAGGCGGAAUGUGUUGUGUAGCGGUGAAAUGCAUAGAUAUGACACAGAACGCCGAUUGCGAAGGCAGCUUACUAAGCCAUUACUGACGCUGAGGCACGAAAGCGUGGGGAGCGAACAGGAUUAGAUACCCUGGUAGUCC